rnacentral:rRNA from 1 species
GCCUAAAGCGUCCGUAGCCGGCUUUGUAAGUUUUCGGUUAAAUCCAUAUGCUCAACAUAUGGGCCGCCGGGAAUACUGCAAAGCUAGGGAGUGGGAGAGGUAGACGGUACUCCGUAGGAAGGGGUAAAAUCCUUUGAUCUAUGGAUGACCACCUGUGGCGAAGGCGGUCUACCAGAACACGUUCGACGGUGAGGGAUGAAAGCUGGGGGAGCAAACCGGAUUAGAUACCCGGGUAGUCCCAGCUGUAAACUAUGCAAACUCAGUGAUGCAUUGGCUUGUGGCCAAUGCAGUGCCGCAGAGAAGUCGUUAAGUUUGCCGCCUGGGAAGUACGUACGCAAGUAUGAAACUUAAAGGAAUUGGCGGGGGAGCACCACAAGGGGUGAAGCCUGCGGUUCAAUUGGAGUCAACGCCAGAAAUCUUACCCGGGGAGACAGCAGAAUGAAGGUCAAGCUGAAGACUUUACCAGACAAGCUGAGAAGUGGUGCAUGGCCGUCGCCAGCUCGUGCCGUGAGAUGUCCUGUUAAGUCAGGUAACGAGCGAGAUCCCUGCCUCUAGUUGCCACCAUUACUCUCAGGAGUAGUGGGGCGAAUUAGCGGGACUGCCGCAGUUAAUGCGGAGGAAGGAGGGGGCCACGGCAGGUCAGUAUGCCCCGAA